CCUACGGGGGGCAGCAGUGGGGAAUAUUGGGCAAUGGGCGCAAGCCUGACCCAGCAACGCCGCGUGAAGGAAGAAGGCUUUCGGGUUGUAAACUUCUUUUGUCAGGGACGAAGCAAGUGACGGUACCUGACGAAUAAGCCCCGGCUAACUACGUGCCAGCAGCCGCGGUAAUACGUAGGGGGCAAGCGUUAUCCGGAUUCACUGGGUGUAAAGGGAGCGUAGACGGCCAGGCAAGCCUGGAGUGAAAGCCCGGGGCCCAACCCCGGGAGUGGUCUGGGAACUGUCCGGCUGGAGUGCGGGGGGGGCAGGCGGAAUUCCUGGUGUAGCGGUGAAAUGCGUAGAUAUCAGGAGGAACACCGACGGCGAAGGCGGCCUGCUGGACCGCGACUGACGUUGAGGCUCGAAAGCGUGGGGAGCAAACAGGAUUAGAUACCCCUGUAGUC
rnacentral:rRNA from 1 species